GACGGGACCGCACAAGCGGUGGAUGAUGUGGUUAAUUCGAUGCAACGCGAAAACCUUACCACCUUUGACAUGGCAGGAAUCCUGAAGAGAUUUGGGAGUGCUCGAAAGAGAACCUGCACACAGGUGCUGCAUGGCUGUCGUCAGCUCGUGUCGUGAGAUGUUGGGUUAAGUCCCGCAACGAGCGCAACCCUUGCCAUUAGUUGCUACGAAAGGGGCACUCUAAUGGGACUGCCGGUGACAAACCGGAGGAAGGUGGGGAUGACGUCAAGUCCUCAUGGCCCUUAUAGGUGGGGCUACACACGUCAUACAAUGGCCGGUACAGAGGGUAGCCAACCCGCGAGGGGGAGCCAAUCCCACAAAGCCGGUCGUAGUCCGGAUCGCAGUCUGCAACUCGAGAGCAUGAAGUCGGAAUCGCUAGUAAUCGCAGGUCAGCAUACUGCGGUGAAUACGUUCCCGGGUCUU
rnacentral:rRNA from 1 species